rnacentral:miRNA from 17 species
GCUCUGUCAGUGUUGCGCUACU